ACAUAGCAUAUGGAAAUAAACAGAUAGAAGAAAUGGAAUUGGCGAAAAUUGCCAAAAAUCUCGUCAAGUGUGUAACUUCCGGAGAGAGUAUUGCGGUGGAAUCCUUUUGGCAGAAGCAGCCGUGUGUGAUUACGUUUUUGCGGCGGUUCGGAUGACCUUUCUGUCGACUGAGUGCUAAGCAGCUCAGUCUCAUCAAGCCACAGCUGGACGCCCACAAUGUCCGCCUGGUCGGGGUCGGCCUGGAGGAAGUGGGGGUCGAGCAGUUCAUCCAGGGAGGAUUCUUCAAAGGAGAGCUCUACAUUGACACAAAGAAACAGUGUUAUAAAAAGUUAGGAUUUAAAAGGUUGAAUCUACUGAGUGUUUUUCCCUCAAUGCUCACCAAAUCAUCUAGAGAUGCUCUUAGUAAAGCACAGCAAGAAAAUAUAAGUGGUGACUUCAGAGGAGACGGUUUUCAAAAUGGUGGAACCCUUGUUGUAGCUCCUGGAGGAAAAGUUUUAUUGUCCUUCAAACAAGAAAAUCCUAGUGACCAUAUCGAGUCCAGUGAGAUACUCAGAGUGCUUGGGAUCAAGGAACCAGAGUCCUAGCUUCUGCUUUCUCCAUUAGUCCAUGAUUGACCUAAAAAGGGCAUUAAUUAGCUAGAAUUUAAUCAAUUUAUCACUGAAAAAUUUAAUUUGUACAUGUUUCAUUUUGAAAAAUCCAAUAAUAAAUGUGAUUUGUGAUGUAUGAAGCUUUCUUUAUAAUUGUAAGCUAAAGCUUUAUUUUUGUAAAGCACAAUUCUUUUAUUUGGAUUUCAAAUAUGAUACAUUAUAUGGUUUAGUCACUUCAUUUAUAACUAACAUACUUCAUUUAAAAAUAAACUAAACUGCUGAUUCAAAACAUAAUACAUGUACAAAUAUUCAUUUCUCAGGUAAUUUUUUUCUUGCUGCAUUUUAAUAACCUUGCAUUACUCCAUCCAUUUGUACCAGUUAUUGUUUUACUUUUAUUUUAUUCUUGUAUUUACAUGUUUUUAUUUUUGUAUACAUGUUGUUGUCCAAGGGUAAAAUAUUUGCACGCUAAUGAUACUGAGCACAGAAAAUAUGAAAAUGUGUUCAGUGGAGAAAUAUGUGUAAUGUUUUGCAUCUUUGUGCCAUAGUCAUUUGUAUACAGUAAUAAAUUGCUCAAGAUCUCA